CCUAAUACAUGCAAGUCGUACGCACUGGCCCAACUGAUUGAUGGUGCUUGCACCUGAUUGACGAUGGAUCACCAGUGAGUGGCGGACGGGUGAGUAACACGUAGGUAACCUGCCCCGGAGCGGGGGAUAACAUUUGGAAACAGAUGCUAAUACCGCAUAACAACAAAAGCCACAUGGCUUUUGUUUGAAAGAUGGCUUUGGCUAUCACUCUGGGAUGGACCUGCGGUGCAUUAGCUAGUUGGUAAGGUAACGGCUUACCAAGGCGAUGAUGCAUAGCCGAGUUGAGAGACUGAUCGGCCACAAUGGAACUGAGACACGGUCCAUACUCCUACGGGAGGCAGCAGUAGGGAAUCUUCCACAAUGGGCGCAAGCCUGAUGGAGCAACACCGCGUGAGUGAAGAAGGGUUUCGGCUCGUAAAGCUCUGUUGUUGGAGAAGAACGUGCGUGAGAGUAACUGUUCACGCAGUGACGGUAUCCAACCAGAAAGUCACGGCUAACUACGUGCCAGCAGCCGCGGUAAUACGUAGGUGGCAAGCGUUAUCCGGAUUUAUUGGGCGUAAAGCGAGCGCAGGCGGUUGCUUAGGUCUGAUGUGAAAGCCUUCGGCUUAACCGAAGAAGUGCAUCGGAAACCGGGCGACUUGAGUGCAGAAGAGGACAGUGGAACUCCAUGUGUAGCGGUGGAGUGCGUAGAUAUAUGGAAGAACACCAGUGGCGAAGGCGGCUGUCUGGUCUGCAACUGACGCUGAGGCUCGAAAGCAUGGGUAGCGAACAGGAUUAGAUACCCUGGUAGUCCAUGCCGUAAACGAUGAGUGCUAGGUGUUGGAGGGUUUCCGCCCUUCAGUGCCGGAGCUAACGCAUUAAGCACUCCGCCUGGGGAGUACGACCGCAAGGUUGAAACUCAAAGGAAUUGACGGGGGCCCGCACAAGCGGUGGAGCAUGUGGUUUAAUUCGAAGCUACGCGAAGAACCUUACCAGGUCUUGACAUCUUGCGCUAACCUUAGAGAUAAGGCGUUCCCUUCGGGGACGCAAUGACAGGUGGUGCAUGGUCGUCGUCAGCUCGUGUCGUGAGAUGUUGGGUUAAGUCCCGCAACGAGCGCAACCCUUGUUACUAGUUGCCAGCAUUAAGUUGGGCACUCUAGUGAGACUGCCGGUGACAAACCGGAGGAAGGUGGGGACGACGUCAGAUCAUCAUGCCCCUUAUGACCUGGGCUACACACGUGCUACAAUGGACGGUACAACGAGUCGCAAGCUCGCGAGAGUAAGCUAAUCUCUUAAAGCCGUUCUCAGUUCGGACUGUAGGCUGCAACUCGCCUACACGAAGUCGGAAUCGCUAGUAAUCGCGGAUCAGCAUGCCGCGGUGAAUACGUUCCCGGGCCUUGUACACACCGCCCGUCACACCAUGGGAGUUUGUAACGCCCAAAGUCGGUGGCCUAACCA
rnacentral:rRNA from 2 species